ACGGGAGGCAGCAGUGGGGAAUAUUGGGCAAUGGGCGAAAGCCUGACCCAGCAACGCCGCGUGAAGGAAGAAGGCCUUCGGGUUGUAAACUUCUUUUAUCAGGGACGAAGAACGUGACAGUACCUGAUGAAUAAGCCACGGCUAACUACGUGCCAGCAGCCGCGGUAACACGUAAGUUGCGAGCGUUGUUCGGAUUUAUUGUGUUUAAAGGACGUGUAGGCGGUUCUGUAAGCUUGGUGUGAAAGGCGGGAGCUCAACUCCCGAAUUGCGUUGAGAACUGCAGGACUUGAGUUACUGGGGAGCAGUCAGAAUUCCAGGUGUAGGGGUGAAAUCUGUAGAUAUCUGGAAGAAUACCAAUGGCGAAGGCAGGCUGCUAACAGAUGACUGACGCUGAGGCGUGAAGGUGCGGGGAGCAAACAGGAUUAGAUACCCUGGUA
rnacentral:rRNA from 1 species